rnacentral:rRNA from 1 species
UACGAAGGGGGCUAGCGUUGCUCGGAAUCACUGGGCGUAAAGCGCACGUAGGCGGAUUGCUAAGUCAGGGGUGAAAUCCUGGAGCUCAACUCCAGAACUGCCUUUGAUACUGGCGACCUCGAGUCCGGGAGAGGUGAGUGGAACUGCGAGUGUAGAGGUGAAAUUCGUAGAUAUUCGCAAGAACACCAGUGGCGAAGGCGGCUCACUGGCCCGGUACUGACGCUGAGGUGCGAAAGCGUGGGGAGCAAACAGG